rnacentral:lncRNA from 1 species
AUGCUGCUGCUGAUGCUGCCGCCGCUGCCGCCGCCGCCGCCGCCGCCGCUCGAGCUGCUGGAUGCUGCGCUGCGCCAGGAGCUGAACAUAAAGGGGCUCCGUCAGGGGCCGGGAGUCCUCUCAGCCCGCGCUCGCCUUCAGCACCACGGACAGCCCCACGCGGGCCGGGCCGGGCCGAGCCGGGCAGGGCCGGGCCGGGCAGGGGCCGCCGCCCCCCGGGCAGGGUCCGCAGUCCGUCGCCGCUCCGCUCCGGAGGAGCGAGCGCGCAGCACUUGUGGAGUGCGCGGGAGAGGGAGCGCGCGGGAGGAGGAGGAGGAGGAGGAGGAGGAGGAGGAGUACCGAGGGGUGGAGGUGGCGGCGGGAGUGCGGGGCACCGCGCUGCGCGGCGGGCUGGGGAGACGGGGCUGGCGAGAGGGGCGUGGAGGGGGCCACGAGGCGGGAGGGCUGAGGCGAGGGCGCUGCAGGGGCGGGAAGGAGGAGAGAGGGCGAGCGAGGAGCCUCCCCGCGCCGCCUGGCGCCGGCGUGCAGCCGCCGGGGGCACCCACCUUCCGCUCCCCCGCGGAGCCCGGCGCGGUCUCUCGCACAACUCCCUCAGCCGGCCACGGCGCCCGCCGAGCCCCGCCCGGAGCCGGGCGAGCCCGCGGGAGGCGACGGCUGCCGGGGCAGAGCGCGGGCGGCUGGACGGACUCGCCGCGGCAUCCAGCCGGCGGGGAAGGGCUGCCGCCAACGGGGAAAUCCGCCUCGGCGGGCAGCGUGCGGAUGAGAGGGAGGGCGAGGCAGCCCGGCGACCCCAGCCCGUCCUCCGAGGAGCCCGCGGGCGGCUGCCCGCCGGCCUGCCCCCGCCCCCGAGCCCCCCUCUGCGAAGCCCCCCCCCCCCCAGCCCCUCUGAAGGACCGGCGGCCUCUCCCUCCUGAGCAGCCCCUCUGUGGGGCUUUUCCCCCUCCCGUCAGGCCCGCCGCGGAGCCGGCCCCCACCUCAGCCCCCUCAGCCCCGCCGCGGGGCCGGCCCCGCUCCCCGCCAUCCCUUACAUAA